AUCCAUUUCAGUAGGUUUUCAAACUUAACUGCAUAGAUUUUCGCUUUGUAAUUUAUCUCUGUUUUUCUGCAUCACUGGUCAUUUCCCUUUCCUCAUUUUAUGAUAGUAGGCAGAUUAAAUCCUAUCUUCUUGUGAAACUUCCCCUGAAAUACCCACACCCUGAUGCCCAGAAUUUGUGAGAGGGACUUUGCUGAUCUGAUUGAAGCUGCAGACCUUGAGAAGGAGAGGUUUUCCUAGAUUAUCCUGGUAUACACAAUCAAAGUACAUAAACCUUUAAAAGCAGAGAACUUCUCUCUGACUGGAGUCAGAAAGAAUGGCUGAAGGAAAAUGGCAGAAAGUGCAAGAGACAGAUUAGGAGUUUGAAGACAGAGUGGGCACGUUCACAAGGAAUGAGGACACCUGAAGGAGAGCCUUAAGUCUGAGAGAGGUCCCCACUAACAGUGAGCAAGAAGAAACAUCCUUAACAUUACAAUCACAAGGAGCUGAGUUCUGCCAACUCUUAAAAGAGCUUGGAAGCAGAUUCUUCCCAAGAGCCUCUGGUUGGAGAGCCCAGGACGUCUGAGACACCUUUAUUUUAGCUUUGUGAGUGCUUGAACAGAGGAACCAGAUGAUGAGCUGAGCCCACCGGUUCUUCUGACCUACAGAAGUGAGAUUGGCAUACCAAGAAAGUGGAGUAGCCAAUUACUUACAAGAUAAUUCAAACUGUUUUCCAACAUGGUUCUACUGAUUUAUAUUCCCAUCCACAAUGUCUAAGAGUUCUGCUUGCUUUUGAAUUUUGCCAACACUUUCUCUAAGGAACUUGGAUCCUCAAGUCCUGGAUGCUUUGACAGCUCUGAAAUCCAAGCUUCCAGCCCCACGUGGUUGCCAAAGCUUUGCCACUCAUUUGUUGCUUGGGGCUAGUGGAGCAAAGCAAGAGCAGAAGAAUUGAGAAGGGAAAACUUAUCUCCAUCCUUCAUAUCAAGAAGAAAUAUUUCAAUUUCUUUUCCCAGUGACUAAGGUCUGUUUCUUUCUAACACACCUCUACUGAUACCAUGCUUGUCUCCUAGCAUAAACUAUGAUUUUUCUCCCAGUUAUUAAUUAUAGCUGUCAUUUCUGAGCCCAGAGCCAGAGGUAAUGAUCAUGCUGAAAUUCAAGCUGCUUCUUUUACCAAGAAUGAGGAAACCUGGAAAAACAUCUAUAAACCACCCUCCAACCUGU